rnacentral:rRNA from 1 species
UACAGGGGUGCGAGCGUUAAUCGGAAUUACUGGGCGUAAAGCGUGCGUAGACGGUUAUGUAAGUCGGGUGUGAAAGCCCCGGGCUCAACCUGGGAAUUGCAUUCGAGACUGCAUAGCUAGGAUGCGGAAGAGGGAAGUGGAAUUUCCGGUGUAGCGGUGAAAUGCGUAGAUAUCGGAAGGAACAUCAGUGGCGAAAGCGACUUCCUGGUCCAGCAUCGACGUUCAGGCACGAAAGCGUGGGGAGCAAACAGG